AGCGGGGGAUAACACCUGGAAACAGAUGCUAAUACCGCAUAACAACUUGGACCGCAUGGUCCGAGUUUGAAAGAUGGCUUCGGCUAUCACUUUUGGAUGGUCCCGCGGCGUAUUAGCUAGAUGGUGGGGUAACGGCUCACCAUGGCAAUGAUACGUAGCCGACCUGAGAGGGUAAUCGGCCACAUUGGGACUGAGACACGGCCCAAACUCCUACGGGAGGCAGCAGUAGGGAAUCUUCCACAAUGGACGAAAGUCUGAUGGAGCAACGCCGCGUGAGUGAAGAAGGGUUUCGGCUCGUAAAACUCUGUUGUUAAAGAAGAACAUAUCUGAGAGUAACUGUUCAGGUAUUGACGGUAUUUAACCAGAAAGCCACGGCUAACUACGUGCCAGCAGCCGCGGUAAUACGUAGGUGGCAAGCGUUGUCCGGAUUUAUUGGGCGUAAAGCGAGCGCAGGCGGUUUUUUAAGUCUGAUGUGAAAGCCUUCGGCUCAACCGAAGAAGUGCAUCGGAAACUGGGAAACUUGAGUGCAGAAGAGGACAGUGGAACUCCAUGUGUAGCGGUGAAAUGCGUAGAUAUAUGGAAGAACACCAGUGGCGAAGGCGGCUGUCUGGUCUGUAACUGACGCUGAGGCUCGAAAGUAUGGGUAGCAAACAGGAUUAGAUACCCUGGUAGUCCAUACCGUAAACGAUGAAUGCUAAGUGUUGGAGGGUUUCCGCCCUUCAGUGCUGCAGCUAACGCAUUA
rnacentral:rRNA from 2 species